GGGUUGUGAGGUUAAGCGACUAAGCGUACACGGUGGAUGCCCUGGCAGUCAGAGGCGAUGAAGGACGUGCUAAUCUGCGAUAAGCGCCGGUAAGGUGAUAUGAACCGUUAUAACCGGCGAUUUCCGAAUGGGGAAACCCAGUGUGACUCGUCACACUAUCAUUAACUGAAUCCAUAGGUUAAUGAGGCGAACCGGGGGAACUGAAACAUCUAAGUACCCCGAGGAAAAGAAAUCAACCGAGAUUCCCCCAGUAGCGGCGAGCGAACGGGGAGGAGCCCAGAGCCUGAAUCAGCAUGUGUGUUAGUGGAAGCGUCUGGAAAGGCGCGCGAUACAGGGUGACAGCCCCGUACACAAAAGCGCAUGUGCUGUGAGCUCGAUGAGUAGGGCGGGACACGUGGUAUCCUGUCUGAAUAUGGGGGGACCAUCCUCCAAGGCUAAAUACUCCUGACUGACCGAUAGUGAACCAGUACCGUGAGGGAAAGGCGAAAAGAACCCCGGCGAGGGGAGUGAAAAAGAACCUGAAACCGUGUACGUACAAGCAGUGGGAGCACAGGUUUACCUGUGUGACUGCGUACCUUUUGUAUAAUGGGUCAGCGACUUAUAUUCUGUAGCAAGGUUAACCGAAUAGGGGAGCCGGAGGGAAACCGAGUCUUAA
rnacentral:rRNA from 3 species